UUAAGCCUGGAUGCACUGAUUAGACAAGGUCAAGCCUCACUUUUUCAAUUAUCUUGGAUUUCUGAAUUCUUCUUUUGUGCAAUAGCCCUCCGCUCUGUUUUGAUCUUAUCUGCCUGCUUUGUUUUGCCUACAUGAGCCUAAAAUGAAGAAGUUUCUUCAGCCUGCAGUCUCCUGCAUUUGGGUCCACCUGCUCUGCUCCACCUAACAUUUUUUAUGGGGUUUUAUCAGGUCAAGGUAACAGGAUUGUGAUGAGGAGAAACCUUUAGCUGUUGGACAGCAGAGGGCAGCAUGGUGGCAAGGGCUUUCCUGGCCUUCUCCCGGCUGCGGAUCUUCUCUGGCGUCAGGCCCAACAGCCUGCUCAUCUCCUCCCUGAAGAAGCUACGGUU